CGCCUGUUUAACAAAAACAUAGCUUUUUGAGUAAUUUAUAAAAAGUUAUUUCUGCCCAAUGAUUCUUUAUAUUAAAUGGCCGCAGUAUCUUAACUGUGCAAAGGUAGCAUAAUCACUUGCUUUUUAAUUAAAGGCUGGAAUGAAUGAAUUUACGAAAAUUUAGCUGUCUCUCACGUAACUUAUAAAAUUUAAUCUUAAAGUGAAAAAGCUUUAAUAAAAUUAAAGGACAAGAAGACCCUAUUGAGCUUUAUUUUAUUUGUUUUAACUUUCUACCAUUUUUAAACAAAAUUUUUAAAAUAAAAAAAAUUAGUUGGGGCGACUAAAGAAUAUUAAUAUCUUCUUUAAACUUAAAGGAUUAUAAUCCUAUUUUAAGAUCUAAUCUAUUAAUCUAAAGAAAAGCUACCAUAGGGAUAACAGUCUAAUCUUUCUUAAAAGUUCAAAUUAACAGAAAGGAUUGGCACCUCGAUGUUGGCUUAAGAUACCUUUUUUAUGCAACUAUAAAUAAAGUAGGUUUGUUCAACCUUUAAAAUCU
rnacentral:rRNA from 1 species